rfam:Myotis brandtii contig257900, whole genome shotgun sequence.
AAAAAGGUUUUUCUUAAAACCAAACAGAUUAAGUGUCUUGGCAAAU